rnacentral:lncRNA from 1 species
GGCCUACAUAAAUAGUAAACUAGUUUCUAUAUUUUUGUUAAGUAGAGACUCUUUGAUUAUGUGAAUCCACUCAUAGUUUAAUUCAUCAGAGACUAGACUUUAGACUUUGGAAUUUUGAUUUAUUGGAUAAGAAUAAUAUUAGAUAUUAAGCUCUUUAAUUGUUUUUUAUUCUCCUACUAUAAUCUGUGUUAGUCAAACACCUACUAUUAGUAUGAUAUGGAAAAAAAUCAUAUUUAAUAACUUUUUC